UACGUAGGGUGCAAGCGUUGUCCGGAAUCACUGGGUUUAAAGGGUGCGUAGGUGGCUUGGUAAGUCAGUGGUGAAAGCCCGGAGCUCAACUCCGGAACUGCCAUUGAUACUGCUUAGCUUGAAUCAGGUCGAGGUGGAUGGAAUAUUACAUGUAGCGGUGAAAUGCUUAGAUAUGUAAUAGAACACCGAUUGCGAAGGCAGUUCACUAGGCCUGUAUUGACACUGAGGCACGAAAGCGUGGGGAUCAAACAGG
rnacentral:rRNA from 1 species